GGGGGCGCACGUGCGCAUGUGUACCAAUGUCAUGUACAUGUAGUCGCUGAUGAGCUCACGGUGGUCGCUUUGAUCCGUUUAUUUUCGCGACUUCGUGUAUCAAGAAAUUAGUCUUUGAGGAAUCGCUGGCACACCUCCGUUAUGACAUUGAUGGAAUACAGCACAAGACCGAUCAGGGAACAAGACCAGCAGCGCUAAACAUCGAGCAAGCUGGCUGCAGAAGAGUAGCGGGACAAAUGCGACUCCAUCUGUGCACAAACUCACUGCUCGCUGCUACACAGGGCCGGACUGGUC